GGGGGCGGCCGGACCAGGACCAGGAAACAGCUGCUCUUACUCCGGUCAUCAGUGGCAGAGGAGUGUGGUGAUGCUGUUGGAGACUCUCCUUCCCUCUUGAUGGAAGCAGACAACAGGAGGGACUGGAAGAAGAAAAAGGACAUGUCGCCUCAGGCCAAAUGAGACCUCUAGUCGUUUGCACAGCUCUGAGCCGGAAGCAUACAAGCCCCUAGGAGGCCUCCCCAGCCGAGAAACCAUGCCAAAUCGCCAGUGACAGCCCAAAGAAAGCAAUUUGGGAAAGAUGGAGCAGCCAUUUAUCCUUCAUCUCCGACCGAGCCUUAGGAUGUGACCCGCAUGCGGUGGCCAUGCUGCACAUCCUCAGGCAAGGGCCCUGGGAAGGGAG